AUACUUACCUGGCGCGGGGGAUACCGUGAUCAAAGAAGCGGUGCCUCCAGGACGAGGCCGCUGUACAUUGCACUCCGUAUGGGCUGACUCCUGCGACUACCCAUCGGUCGGCGGCGGUGGCUCGAGCGCAUAAUUUUUUUUUGGUAGUGGGGGACAAGCGUUCGCGCUGUCCCUUU
rnacentral:snRNA from 1 species